UAGUCCACGCCGUAAACGAUGAAUACUAGGUGUCGGGAGCGCUUGUCCUCUUGGUAACGCAGCUAACGCAAUAAGUAUCCCGCCUGGGAAGUACGGUCGCAAGAUUAAAACUCAAAGGAAUUGACGGGGGCCCGCACAAGCGGUGGAGCAUGUGGUUUAAUUCGAUGCUACGCGAAGAACCUUACCUGGGCUUGACAUCCCGGGCUACCCUGUGAAAGCAGGGGUUCCCUUCGGGGACCCGGUGACAGGUGCUGCAUGGCUGUCGUCAGCUCGUGUUGUGAGAUGUUGGGUUAAGUCCCGCAACGAGCGCAACCCUCGCCCUUAGUUACCAGCAUUUAGUUGGGCACUCUAAGGGGACCGCUUGGCUAUAAGCCAGAGGAAGGUGGGGAUGACGUCAAGUCCUCAUGGCCUUUAUGUCCAGGGGCUACACACGUGCUACAAUGGGAAAGGACAAAGCGCAGCUAACUCGCGAGAGUGUGCUAAUCGCAAAAACCUUUUCUCAGUUCGGAUUGGAGUCUGCAAC
rnacentral:rRNA from 1 species